rnacentral:rRNA from 1 species
AAUCAACGCUGGCGGCGUGCCUCAGACAUGCAAGUCGAACGAUUAAAGCUCUCUUCGGAGAGUGUAUAGAGUGGCGCACGGGUGAGUAACACGUAAGUAAUCUACCCUCGAGUGGGGAAUAACGUCCGGAACGGACGCUAAUACCGCAUAAUGCAGCGGCACCGCAAGGUGACAGUUGUUAAAGAUUUACCGCUUGAGGAGGAGCUUGCGGCAGAUUAGCAGUUGGUAAGGUAAUGGCUUACCAAGGCUACGAUCUGUAACCGGUCUAAGAGGACGGUCGGUCGCACUGACACUGAAUAACGGGUCAGACUCCUACGGGAGGCAGCAGUCGGGAAUUUUGGGCAAUGGGCGAAAGCCUGACCCAGCAACGCCGCGUGAAGG